GUGGGGAAUCUUGCGCAAUGGGCGAAAGCCUGACGCAGCCAUGCCGCGUGGAUGAUGACGGUCUUAGGAUUGUAAAAUCCUUUCACCGGUGAAGAUAAUGACUGUAGCCGGAGAAGAAGCCCCGGCUAACUUCGUGCCAGCAGCCGCGGUAAUACGAAGGGGGCUAGCGUUGCUCGGAAUUACUGGGCGUAAAGGGCGCGUAGGCGGACAGCUUAGUCAGAGGUGAAAGCCCAGGGCUCAACCUUGGAAUUGCCUUUGAUACUGGCUGUCUUGAGUUUGUGAGAGGUGAGUGGAACUCCGAGUGUAGAGGUGAAAUUCGUAGAUAUUCGGAAGAACACCAGUGGCGAAGGCGACUCACUGGCCCAAUACUGACGCUGAGGCGCGAAAGCGUGGGGAGCAAACAGGAUUAGAAACCCGAGUAGUCC
rnacentral:rRNA from 1 species